rnacentral:rRNA from 1 species
AACGACCGCUGGCGGCAGGCUUAACACAUGCAAGUCGAGCGCCCCGCAAGGGGAGCGGCAGACGGGUGAGUAACGCGUGGGAACGUACCCUUUGCUACGGAAUAGCUCCGGGAAACUGGAAUUAAUACCGUAUGCGCCCUACGGGGGAAAGAUUUCAAGGCAAAGGAUCGGCCCGCGUUGGAUUAGGUAGUUGGUGGGGUAAUGGACUACCAAGCCGACGAUCCAUGGCGGGUUUGAGAGGAUGAUCAGCCACACUGGGGCUGAGACACGGCCCAGACUCGUACGGGAGGCAGCAGUGGGAGAGCUUAGACAAUGGGGGAAACCCUGAUCUAGCCAUGCCGCGUGAGCGAUGAAGGCCUUAGGGUUGUAAAGCUCUUUCAGUGGGGAAGAUAAUGACGGUACCCACAGAAGAAGCCCCGGCUAACUCCGUGCCAGCCGCCGCCGUAACAC